rnacentral:rRNA from 1 species
AUUGAACGCUGGCGGCAUGCCUUACACAUGCAAGUCGAACGGCAGCACGGGGGCAACCCUGGUGGCGAGUGGCGAACGGGUGAGUAAUGCAUCGGAACGUACCCGGAAGUGGGGGAUAACGUAGCGAAAGUUACGCUAAUACCGCAUAUUCUGUGAGCAGGAAAGAGGGGGAUCGCAAGACCUCUCGCUUUCGGAGCGGCCGAUGUCGGAUUAGCUAGUUGGUGGGGUAAAGGCCUACCAAGGCGACGAUCCGUAGCGGGUCUGAGAGGAUGAUCCGCCACACUGGGACUGAGACACGGCCCAGACUCCUACGGGAGGCAGCAGUGGGGAAUUUUGGACAAUGGGGGCAACCCUGAUCCAGCCAUGCCGCGUGAGUGAAGAAGGCCUUCGGGUUGUAAAGCUCUUUCGGACGGAAAGAAAUCGCACGGGCUAAUACCCUGUGUGGAUGACGGUACCGUAAGAAGAAGCACCGGCUAACUACGUGCCAGCAGCCGCGGUAAUACGUAGGGUGCGAGCGUUAAUCGGAAUUACUGGGCGUAAAGCGUGCGCAGGCGGUUGUGCAAGACAGGCGUGAAAUCCCCGGGCUUAACCUGGGAACUGCGCUUGUGACUGCGCGGCUAGAGUACGGCAGAGGGGGGUGGAAUUCCACGUGUAGCAGUGAAAUGCGUAGAGAUGUGGAGGAACACCGAUGGCGAAGGCAGCCCCCUGGGCCGAUACUGACGCUCAUGCACGAAAACGUGGGGAGCAAACAG